rnacentral:lncRNA from 1 species
AGUUUUUUCAAAGUUGACAAAUAACUAUGUCUUAAGCUUCGUUUAAGCUUCGUUUGUGAUUGCGGGGAGAUUGCGUUACGUGCGGUGAGAAAUUACGUUGGAAAAAUAUCUUGUUUGUUUCCGUACGUAAUAUUGUGUUCUGCAUAUCGCGAUAAGUCGGUUACAAUAUAUUUUCUGCAAUCUCACCGGAGAACGCAGAAGCAUAUCCCUAUAUGCUUUUUCCUCAACUCCAUUUUAUCUAAUAGCGUUAGAUAGACCUCAAUACCAAAGCCUUAGUUAUAUCAUGUUUCGCACCCUGUGCGAAUAGCGUAGUAGGGUAAUAAAUAGUCUAGAGUUUUUGUUAGUGUAAACUAAAACGAGCUUUCUCAAACAUAAGCUCCACUGUAGCAAGAAAAUACAGAGAUCAUGAUUUAACUAUUAUAUAUAUAGAUUUGGGCUAGAUUACUAUUAAUAGUAUUUGCCCUUUUUGGUAUCAAAUUUUUAGCCUUUGAAUCACUUUUUUUAAUCAUUUUUAAUGAUUGGAUUAAAUAUUAUAAUCCAGUAUGUACCACUCAAUCCUAGGGGGACCACUCAACUCUAAAGGACAGAUAUCAUCCUAACCUUACAAUUUCUCGUCCAAGGGUUAAAAACUUGCCAGCGAAAUGUGCCAAAUAUUAUCAAUAGUAUUUCAACCCAAUUCUCUAUUUUCAGUCUUUCAUUGUUAGACUAUUCGUUUGAUAGCUAAAUGAUGUCGAAAAAUUAAGAAAUUUAGUUUCCAAAUAUUUUAAAUAGUGUAGAUCAAAUCUAACGGAGCCGAUCGUCGAUUUAGAAGUUGCACCAUUAAAAAUAACUUAGUAGCAUGAAGGCCUCCAUGCUACCGAUAGUAUACCAGCCUCUCUCUCUCUCUCUCUCUCUCUCUCUCUCUAUAUAUAGCUAGGCUGGUAUACUAUCGAUAGUGCGGAGGCUUCCAUGCUACCAAGUUGUUUUCAAUGUUGCGCCUUCCAAGAGAGAGAGAGAGAGAGAGAGAGAGAGAGAGAGUUAGGCUGGUAUAUUAUUGUUAGCAAAAGAUCUUUUUUGCUAUCAAGUUUUUAGCAUUUGGAUCAAUUGCUGUCAUCAUUUCUAACCAUUGGAUUACAUAUUAUAACCCAGUGGGAACCACUCAACCCUAAGGGGACCACUCAACCCUAAGCGACUAAUAUCGUCCUAACCUUACAAUUUCUUAUCUAAGGGUUAAAAACUAAAUAGCAAAAGGACAUUUUGCUAUCAAUAUUAUUCCAGCCUAGCAAUAGUAUAUAUAUAUGGGCGCAUAUGAAUUGAUUCGAAUCAAUAUGGAAUUAUUACCCCACGCUCACUCUAUAUUUUCUCCCUGGUUGGUGAUAAUAGGAACAAUGCAAAUAAUCUAUGUAGCUUCAACUUCUCUUGGUCAACGUAAUUUAAAAAAGAGAAUAGCCUAUUCCUCUGUAUCUCACAUGGGUUUCACAAUUAUAGGAAUUGGUUCUAUGACUGACAGGGGACUCAAUGGAGCUAUUUUACAAAUGCUCUCUCAUGGAUUUAUUGGUGCUGCACUUUUUUUCUUGGCGGGAACGAGUUGUGAUAGAACACGUCUUGUUUAUCUCGAAGAAAUGGGAGGGAUAUCUAUCCCAAUGCCAAAAAUAUUUACCAUAUAUAUAUAUAUAUAGAGAGAGAGAGAGAAAUAGGUUGGAAUACUAUUAAUAGCACCAAACUAUUAUUGCUAUUGGUUUUUUAGCCUUUGGAUUGAGAAAUGUGUGGUUAGGAUGAUAUGGGCCCUCUAAGAUUGAGUGAGUGAUUGGUUGAAUAGUAUAAUAUAACGAGUAAAAAUAAUCAAAAUGUUAAAUCUAACAGUGGAAAACCUGAUAGCACCAAAUCUUUGAUGCUAUCGAUAGUAUCUCACCCGGACUAUAUAUAUAUAUAUAUAUAUAUAUAUAUAUAUAUAUAUAUAUNNNNNNNNNNGGAGAGGGUCAAGAAGCGCUCGUCGUGGGCGCCAUCGCGGAGUCCUCCUCCGAUAACGCCGUGGUGGAUACGUCUCCGGAGGCCACCCUCGCCAGAAGGGGUACUACCAACUCCCCCGUCUCGCCCUGGCUGACUACCUCGCGGAGUUGUUCAAAUCCUCCACUCCAGGAGCCUAGAAGUUGCCGCUCUUCCAGCUGGUGACCUAGCACCUCUUUAUCAACUACGUAUAUCUCUUUGAGAAGGCAAUGUGGAAGUAUCUCCUCUCUCUAGCUCAAAUCGAGCGGUGUGUGUGGACCUGCCGCUCCGGAUGGCGACCACCAACCUAGAGGUCCUCUUGGGGUCGUAGCUGAACCGCCGCUAAAGUACCUUCUUCAAGUUCCUCGAAGACAACCGUGUGAUGAAGGGCUGAUCACAGUUUGCCUUCUACCUUGUCCUGAACGCGUUGAACGCGGUUCCACUAGCCUGACACCGGCUCAUGCUCGCCCUCAAAAGAGCCGAAGAAGUGACGCACGGAAAGCAGCACGCCCUGCUGCUCCUGUUCCGGGCGUAGAAACUCCCUCCCAACGCUGGCAGCUAGAAGGCCAAACACGUUAGGAGAUUGGAGGUUUGGAUGGCCCUCCAUCACCUAGCGCGCGAGUAUCACCUCUCGCCGUUAAUGACUGAAUACGUUUAGUACGAUUCAUCUCUGUAGUACCAACUCGUCAUAAGUAGAAAUGAAUGGGCAACAUAAAUAGCGAAAACGAAUACGAAUAUGUGACUAGGGAAAAACAUCGAAAACCCGUAUCACCGCGUGAAGUGACUACAGUCAUUAACGGGUGACCUUUGAUAAUAAAUUAUCAAGAGUGCGGGGACAAAGAUACAAAGGAAAAGUCUCGGAAGCCAUGGCCGCCUCCGUGCCCUAACGCCGUUCCCACAGCGCAUCGAUCGAGUCUCUCUCAGGCAAAACGAUAUCCACCAAUGAGGAAGGAAUAACACAAACUCUCUCCCUCUCUAAAACGUGGUACAUAUCUCUCUGGUGGAACAUAAGUCUAAUCAUGAACAAUACCCUGAGGCAAACAUAAUAGAACACAAAAUGAAUCACCUAAUAGUCAAAAUACUAGAAAAGGAACAAUAUCGUGAAGCAUUAUGAAACGAGACUAUGAGGAUCUACGAAAGAGAAUAACGAAAUAAAUGGCGAAAUAAAAUCUGCGGAACAUACAAAGUCUGCAUGCCGUCCAGACCCGUGCGCGGCCCGUCCGAAGGCGGCCCAGGGCCCCGGACUGUUGGUUCGUGAACCACGAUAAUUCAAAAGACAGUAAUCUAAUUGGGAAAACUGGUAAAAGUGGGCAAUCUAGUAUAAUAAGUUGAUUAGUGGGUGAGUUGGGAUUCCUUGGUAAUAGUAGGAUUGGCAUGUAGCGAAGUAGGUUCCCGGUUUUUAUAAGGAUGGCGCUCUCGGCGCGACGUCCACGAUUGGUGCUGGCGGUGUAGGGACCUGAGUCUUCCGAGCCUCCGCCUGCUGCAGUAGGAGAUCCUCCAGAUGCUUCAUCCACGCCUCCUGUCGGCGCGCCGCCUCAGUCUGCUGUGCCACCAUAUCAGUGAGGGCCGCAAGCUGGCCCCUCAACUCUCGGACCCCGCUGGAUCCGGAGGUAGCAGAGGUCUCGACCUCCUCCAGAUUUGCCGCGUUAUCCGCUCCGGUAGAUUGGGAGCGUGUAAUCGGCAUCACACUACAAUAUCAUAAAAGCGUAAGUUAGCAAACUCACGUCAUCAUAUCCCCACUCAAGAAGGUAAUACCCGAAAUUAUGCGAACGUAAUGAACUGUGCUUCACUACUAACUCCCGAUGUUACGUUGUCGGCCGCCAACGUAACCCUCCGCGAAGUUAGAAGCUAUACACUUCAAUUUAACUCCACUUUCUAGUGUUAUCCAAGAUACCCAAUCAAGAUACUUUCGCUUACAAGUCGAAUAGACCUCGUCUCUCACGAGCCUAUUUCCUAUAGUCCAACCGGCCUAAGGUUUGCUAGGUCCACUAAGACUCAACCCUAGACUCUGAUACCAAACUAAUCUGUCACAUCCCGGGACCCGGCGGAAGCACGCCCGGCGCGUGCCCAGACCCGCCGUACGUCUGAAACAUACAAGGCGUCUAAAAUAAAGCGGUAAAUAAAGCAAUAAGAGAAAGCAUCUAGGAGUAUCAGAGCAAAGUACUACAAAGUGCUACAACAAGGAGAAGACCAUAAAACUGAUAAUCCACUAAGUAAAACACAAGAUAAUACAAACGGAGUCCCAUAACAAGUACUAAUCUGAAUACAAGGUGGUCUCUCUAUACAUGGUGCAAAAUCUCUCCCUCUCUCAAACACAACAAGGAAGGAGUAACCACCUAUAGCAAAACGGACUCUCUCUGAGCUAACUACGCGACACCCUUGCCGCAAUCCCGUGCCUCCGCCGGUGCCGAAGGCUCUGAAAAGGAAAAAUAGAAACAGGGGCGUGAGAACUAUUAAAUAAUAGUUUCCAGUGGGCAAUUACUAACUUCAGUGAAGUGCGCCACUAGGUCCAAAAGCUACAAAAAGGGGUCAGUGUAUAAGCAUAAGCAAAAGCGAUAAAUACAACGGGUAAGUAAAGAUGAAUACUGCUCAACCAUGAUGUCUCUACUUAGCAUGAUUUGCAUAAGUAAUAAAGCAACUACCACAGGUAUGUACAUGAGAGUAACCAAUAUGUAAAUGCAUGAGUAUGCAACUACCCCAAUAUUCACAAUGUGAAUAGCAAUAAUGUCAUUGUUCACUAUUCUAGUCAAUGUCCACUUGUCACUUUAACGAUCUCCAAAUCGACGAUCGGCACCGUUGAACAUGAUCUAUACCAUUUGAAGUAUUUAAAAACUAAAUUUUAAAUCUUUUUGGCAUCAUUAACCUAAUGAUGAAAGGGUUUUAAAAUUUAUAAUUUUAAUGAUCAAUAUAAGGCGUUUUCUCGUUUAACAGUGUAAAGAUAUCCAAAUCAAUUGAAUUUUGGGUAGAAAAUUUUUUAAACUAUUUAGAAAAAAAUCUAUACUCUCGAUCUUGAUUACAAGAUUCCUAUCAUCACUUUUUAAACGAUAUUCAUUUUCAGCCGUUCAUUUUGUGUCCACUUGAUGGACAAAAGAAUAACAUCGAAAAAGUAUGAAAUUUGAUUUCUAAAUGCUUCCAGUGGUAUAGAUCAUGUUCAAUAGUGCCGAUCGUUGAUUUGGAGGCUCCAUAAUAAAAAACAAAUGGCCGGCAACGGAGUCCGUUUACUACCGAUAACAUUCUAGCUCAACUCUCUCUCUCUCUCCUCUCUCUCUCACUCUCUAUAAAUAUAAUCAGCUAUACUAUUUCAACCAACACGGUUCAAAUUAAAAUGAAUCAUCUCAAAGCUUCGUAAUGAUCGAAUUUGAAACAUUAGCUUUGACAAAAAAUUUAGAUACUAAAGAUUUUUUUUAGACCAAUCGUCUCUAACAUAAGUGGCAAAAAUUUGAUAGUCGGUAUGCGAGAUCCCAGGUUUGAAACAUAGUUACUCGACAUUUUCAGCGGUACGCUAUCUUUCUUCAUUAAAAAAAAAAAAAAAAAAUCUUUUUAGCCCUACUGUAGAGUGUGUUAUUACUUAAUCUUAAAAGUAUUAUACGAAUAGUACUUUGGAGAUCAAAAGCACAAAAAUAUCAAAAGAAAAAAUUAUUAACGCUUCUCCAAAUCCAAACCGCUUGUUUGACUUGUAUCAUAUAUCACAUAUUACAAAUCACAUCGUCAUGGAUCCGAGUAAAAAAACAUGCCAACACGUUGUUUAAUUGGAUAAUCAAUAAUCAAAAUCACAUGCGAUCUAACGGCCGAGAUUUAUCCCAUAAAACCUCAAUCUACCACAUGGCGUGACACAGGAGAUGAAGGGGUCUCUCUCACAUGAUCACAUCACAAUUCAUUUAUCCCCCUCUCUCUCUCUCUCUCUCUCUCUCUCUCUCUCCAUCUCUCUCUCUCUCUUUCUCAGCAACCCCUCACCUACCGCUAGUUGUCAUCAUAUUUUUAAUCAUUCAAAAGUUAUUAUUCUAGUUAAUUAAGUUAAAAAAAAAAUUUAUUUAAUUGAUGAAAAUGUAUAAAUACCUCUCCAACUAUUGGCCGUCGCAUAAUAGUCCCCCAAACUCUUUUUUCCUUCUUUUUUCUUUUUUUUUUGUGGGGAUUGUUCCCUUUGUAGCUAGCUUUUAUAUUUUUUUUCAAGGAUAAAUUACUGAAAACCUCUCUAUAAAUAUUUCUUUUUUAUUCUUUUUCUUUCAAACUUUUAGAAAUCUAUAUUUUAUUUUCUUCAAAUUUUAAAGAUGUUUUCAGAACAGUACGACGUUAACAGAGAGUGCAAAAUGAUCAAAUCACCCUUAUUUUUUCUAUAAGAAAAAAAAUAAUUUUUUUAAUAUAUUUUUCUCAUUUUAAAGUCUAUUUUUGUUAUAAAUUAUAAUAAAUGGACGGAAUAGUAAUUGAACCCUUUCGGAAGGGGGCUGAAUAUAACAAUUUGAAAUAUUGAGGGGGUGAAAUAUAGAUUUUUGAAAGUUAGGGAGAAAAAGUAAAAAAGAGGGUAUUUAUAAGAGAGUUUUCUAUAAUUUAGCUUUUUUUGAAUUAAGUGAUGAAUUUAGCCAAAUAAUGAAGGGUUUUCUUAAA